AAUGGGCGCAAGCCUGAUGCAGCGACGCCGCGUGGGUGAAGAAGGUCUCGGAUCGUAAAGCCCUUUUCUGCGUGACGAGGAAGGACGGUAGCGCAGGAAUAAGUCUCGGCUAACUACGUGCCAGCAGCCGCGGUAAAACGUAGGAGACAAACGUUAUCCGGAGUUACUGGGCGUAAAGGGCGUGCAGGUGGUCUGUUAAGUCUGGCGUGAAAGCUCCCGGCUAAACCGGGAGAGGUCGUUGGAUACUGGCGGACUAGAGGACGGUAGAGGCGUGUGGAAUUCCGGGUGUAGUGGUGAAAUGCGUAGAGAUCCGGAGGAACACCAGUGGCGAAGGCGACACGCUGGGCCGUACCUGACACUAAGACGCGACAGCAUGGGGAGCGAACGGGAUUAGAAACCCUGGUAGUCCACGCCCUAAACGAUGGGUACUAGACGUCGGGAAGCUUGUCUUCUUGGUGUCGCAGCUAACGCAAUAAGUACCCCGCCUGGGGAGUACGGUCGCAAGAUUA
rnacentral:rRNA from 1 species